rnacentral:lncRNA from 1 species
CAAGAUCCUUUUCUCCAAUGGAGGCUCUUGACCUGUAGCAAUCCUAAGGCCUUUAGAUGCUUUGGACCAAGCCAAU